AUUGAACGCUGGCGGCAGGCCUAACACAUGCAAGUCGAACGAGUGGCGGACGGGUGAGUAAUGUCUGGGAAACUGCCUGAUGGAGGGGGAUAACUACUGGAAACGGUAGCUAAUACCGCAUACCAUCAGAUGGGCCCAGAUGGGAUUAGCUUGUUGGGGGGGUAACGGCUCACCAAGGCGACGAUCCCUAGCUGGUCUGAGAGGAGGACCAGCCACACUGGAACUGAGACACGGGCCAGACUCCUACGGGAGGCAGCAGUGGGGAAUUUUGGACAAUGGGCGAAAGCCUGAUGCAGCCAUGCCGCGUGUAUGAAGAAGGCCUUCGGGUUGUAAAGUACUUUCAGCGGGGAGGCGUUACCUGCAGAAUAAGCACCGGCUAACUCCGUGCCAGCAGCCGCGGUAAUAC
rnacentral:rRNA from 1 species